UGGGGAAUAUUGGACAAUGGGCGAAAGCCUGAUCCAGCCAUGCCGCGUGUGUGAAGAAGGUCUUCGGAUUGUAAAGCACUUUAAGUUGGGAGGAAGGGCAUUAACCUAAUACGUUAGUGUUUUGACGUUACCGACAGAAUAAGCACCAGCUAACUCUGUGCCAGCAGCCGCGGUAAUACAGAGGGUGCAAGCGUUAAUCGGAAUUACUGGGCGUAAAGCGCGCGUAGGUGGUUUGUUAAGUUGGAUGUGAAAGCCCCGGGCUCAACCUGGGAACUGCAUCCAAAACUGGCAAGCUAGAGUACGGUAGAGGGUGGUGGAAUUUCCUGUGUAGCGGUGAAAUGCGUAGAUAUAGGAAGGAACACCAGUGGCGAAGGCGACCACCUGGACUGAUACUGACACUGAGGUGCGAAAGCGUGGGGAGCAAACA
rnacentral:rRNA from 1 species